CUGGGUGACAGUGCGAGACUCCGUUUCAAACAAAACAAAACAAAAAAACCCUCUACUGUUUUCCUCUCUCCUUCUGCUCCUGCCCAGCCCAGGUUGCAUUCCUUUCCCUUUAGCUUUCAGGGCCCAAGCCUUCUGCUGGCCUCCUUUCUGGAGAAAAGAAGGAAGAGAGGAGGCUGAGGACAUGAAGCUGAGACGCCUGCAGGCUGCAUGCGGAGACCCUCGUGUUGCCAUCUCCUGCAGCAGCAGCGCAGAGUCAGAAGGGCCACCUACUGAGGUGUGGCUCUUCCAUCUUGAGGUCAUAGAGGAACUGAGGCAGGAGGGAGAGGGACCAGAAUGCCACAGGGAUCACCCAGCCAGCCCGCUCGUAUAGCGGCCACUUUUCAAGAGUGAUUUCUUCGGCUUCUUUCCUUCCACAGGCCCGAGAAACCACCCACACUCCCCUGAUCGGCUGGAACCCAGGGGAGCCGGCCUUAAUCCUGGCCUCCCUGGGGCUCAAAAGAAUCUGGAUCACAACAGGUCCCUCCUGGCCAAGCUGGCCCAGACCCACAAGUCUCUCAGCCAGUGGUUCCAGGCUCCAACCAAGGACCUGGGAUUCUUGCAGGAUGCCAGAGAAGAGGUGGCCAAGAGAACCCAGCGGCGUCGUUCUCAUUACAGGGGCCUCCUCAGCGAAGACCCCUCACUCUCUUCUGGCUUUCCUCUCUGGUUUCCUCACUGACGUCAUAAAAAUUUGUAUUCAUUCAUUCAAUAAAUACUUAUUGAGAACAUGCCCAAAGUACUGGGGUAAUUAAGAGUGGGAGACAAGGAGGCAAAAAUGAGUCAGCUGUGAACUUUGCCUGCGGAAGGCUGAGACCGGCAGAUUCCUGUCCAGGUUCUGAAACUUACUAGUUCUGUGACCUUAGCUACGUCAGCUCACUUUUCUGAUUCCCAGUUUACUUGUCUGAAAAACUAGGAUGAUAAUCACAGAUUGCUGGUGAGAGACUGACUCUACAAAUGGCCAGCGGCCAGACCAGACAUAAAAAUAGAUCUCUGACCCACAAUCUGCAGCAACCAGCCCAGGAAGCCCCGCCAUCCUCUACAACGACCAGCCCAGGAAGC
rnacentral:lncRNA from 10 species